GACAUUUAUAUCCCUACAGAAACCUCUGACAUAAAGCUAAAAUGUAUUAUAAAAGUCUGAUAUUUUUUUCAGUCUUGCUAUCCUCUCUCCCCUCUUUUUUUAAACCUAUGAAAGUGAUGCCUGUGGACUUACUAGCAUUCAGCAGAGUCAUGACAAUAUCAUGACAUCCUGACAACAAAAGUACUGAUAGAACAAAGAGCAAGUAUGUACUGUGGAAAAGAGAACAUAGUUUCUGUUUUAAAUGCUGUAUGAACAGACAUGACGAGAAAAGCUAUUUUUUUUUUUAAUUUGAUCAGCUUUUUAGUGUUAUCUGUUUUGAAAACUAACUUUUAGUCUUAGAAAAGAUGGUUUUGAAGCAAGACAUUGAGAGGGAAAGGAUGGUGGUGGUGGUCUGGUCUGCUCAGAGAAAGUGAACAGAACUUUUCAUUAAUAUUUUGCUAGUAUUGACAGCUCUUUGUCUUUUACAAAACCGGAAAAUCAUUCCAUCACAAGCACAAAGCUAUGCGUGGAAGUAGAAGUCACUUAGGUUUGCCUGAUUGUCAGAAGCAAUUUAUAAGCACUUCAAAAUGCUUUCGUAAGAAAGCAGAGCAUAAAGGUUGUGUUUUGUUAAUCUUUUAAACAGUGUCCCAGCAGUUGCAGGAGGGCUGAACCAGGUACCAAGCAAGCUCUACAUUUGGGCGAUGUGAUUGCAUGUGCUUUCGCAAUACUCCUCCUUUCCUAUGCUGAGACUUCGGUGCUCUGAUAUUAGAGGCCCUAAUUUGGGAUUAUGUUAACAUAGGUGCAGCAGUCAUUACUGGUAUGGAAGAAGAAUCACCUUGCUUCCCUGCAACGGUGCAAAGGUUUUUAAUGACUAAGGACAGAGAAAACUAUUUGUUUCUUUGUUGCUGCCUUUUUUCCAUUUUUUUCCUUGUCUGCAGAUCCAUACUUACAUGGUAUUUUGACCAUGUCACAACAGUGUGUCUUCAGAAGCCUCAGUCUGUAGCAGAGGGUUCUUAGGUCCUUCUGUGGAGCCCUUAAAAUAAUUUUAACUACUGCUGGUCUUACCUGAUGAAUUAGAAGUAGACAACCAAGUCAGACCCUAUGUAUAAAAAAAUGUUAUGAAUAAUGUUCUUCUUGGGGACAGACUGUGGCACUUUCACUAAGGUAAACUAGUAUCUUUUUAGAACAUAUGUUGGGCUGCUUUUACAAGGAACUUUAGAAUAUCUUUUGCAAAUAUUAGUAAUUGGAAAUGUUUGUAUUGUUUUAGCUUUCUGCAGUUGUUUGUACGUGGUGGUUCAUUUUGUUGUGACAAGGUACAGUAAUCAACAGCUGUGGUGGAAGCAGAAACAAUCCAUCACUGCACCCAAAGCAACUAUCUGGCAGGUUCCAUUUGAACCUCGCUGUUCUGCAGAUUUUCCAUGAGACAUCUGAAGACUCUUUCCAAGGAUCCUGACUGUCACUCUGUGAUGGUAUGUGUGUGCCUGAAAUUUCAAGACAGCGGCAAACUUCCUUCUGUUCCUUUUGUUUUUUUUCCUUCUGGAGGUGUGAUAAUGGAACCUGUGAGUGUGUUAAACAGCCCUAUUCUGUAGCUGUGAAGAAAGAACUAAAGCUGUGCAUUUUGUUUGAAAGCUGACACUUCUAUCAAGUGUUAAAAACUGUGUACCAAAGACAUCUGUGAUGAAAUCAGUGGACCUGUGAUUUUUGCAGCCAGAUUAACAGUCAUGGAAGUGGCUUAAUUCAUGGUAUGGUUUUGUCGCAUUCCUUCCUUUGUUGUCAUACUUGGCUUUGGGUGUUUUCUUUUAAACAUCUUUGUGUAAAAUAAAGUGAAGUUUCUCUGGGAAGUA